GUGCUCGCUUUGGCAGAACAUAUACUAAAAUCGGAACAAUGCAGACAAGACUAGCAUGGCCCCUGUGCAAGGAUGACAUGCAAUUUUGUAAAGCAUUCCAUAUAUUU